rnacentral:rRNA from 1 species
UACAGAGGGUGCAAGCGUUAAUCGGAAUCACUGGGCGUAAAGCGCACGUAGGCGGCUUCUCAAGUCAGGGGUGAAAUCCUGGAGCUCAACUCCAGAACUGCCUUUGAUACUGGCGAUCUUGAGUCCGGGAGAGGUGAGUGGAACUGCGAGUGUAGAGGUGAAAUUCGUAGAUAUUCGCAAGAACACCAGUGGCGAAGGCGGCUCACUGGCCCGGUACUGACGCUGAGGUGCGAAAGCGUGGGGAGCAAACAGG